UGAGUAACGCGUGAGGAUCUGCCCUUAGGAGGGGAACAACAGUUGGAAACGACUGCUAAUGCCCCAUAUGCCGAGAGGUGAAAAGUUUUAUCGCCUGAGGAUGAACUCGCGUCUGAUUAGCUAGUUGGUGGGGUAAAGGCCCACCAAGGCGACGAUCAGUAGCUGGUCUAAGAGGAUGAUCAGCCACACUGGGACUGAGACACGGCCCAGACUCCUACGGGAGGCAGCAGU
rnacentral:rRNA from 1 species